GAUGAACGCUGGCGGCGUGCCUAAUACAUGCAAGUCGAGCGAACAGACGAGGAGCUUGCUCCUCUGACGUUAGCGGCGGACGGGUGAGUAACACGUGGAUAACCUACCUAUAAGACUGGGAUAACUUCGGGAAACCGGAGCUAAUACCGGAUGAUAUAUUGAACCGCAUGGUUCAAUAGUGAAAGACGGUUUUGCUGUCACUUAUAGAUGGAUCCGCGCCGCAUUAGCUAGUUGGUAAGGUAACGGCUUACCAAGGCGACGAUGCGUAGCCGACCUGAGAGGGUGAUCGGCCACACUGGAACUGAGACACGGUCCAGACUCCUACGGGAGGCAGCAGUAGGGAAUCUUCCGCAAUGGGCGAAAGCUUGACGGAGCAACGCCGCGUGAGUGAUGAAGGUCUUCGGAUCGUAAAACUCUGUUAUUAGGGAAGAACAAAUGUGUAAGUAACUAUGCACGUCUUGACGGUACCUAAUCAGAAAGCCACGGCUAACUACGUG
rnacentral:rRNA from 1 species